UACGAAGGGGGCUAGCGUUGUUCGGAAUUACUGGGCGUAAAGCGCACGUAGGCGGAUAUUUAAGUCAGGGGUGAAAUCCCGGGGCUCAACCCCGGAACUGCCUUUGAUACUGGGUAUCUCGAGUCCGAGAGAGGUGAGUGGAAUUCCGAGUGUAGAGGUGAAAUUCGUAGAUAUUCGGAGGAACACCAGUGGCGAAGGCGGGACUCUGGGCCGAUACUGACGCUGAGGAGCGAAAGCGUGGGGAGCAAACAGG
rnacentral:rRNA from 1 species